GUAAUCCGCUGAGACGCUGCCAGGUUUGACUUCCAGCCUGCUCGUCUCACUUUUGCUGAUGGUUAGCGUUGUACAGGUUACUCACGGUGGGUGGAUUAAUGGCGACCCUCAAGCGCUUUACAGUCUGGCAGGAUUAAUCUCUGGCAUUUAAUGGAAAUCAUCUUGAGAAGGGAAAGUUUGCCUCUCAGAUUGUUUCCAUAAACCAGCGUAGCAUCAGGAGUCUCUAUCGUCCUGGACUAUUUUGCAGCGGCUCGACUUCAUCACAAAGCCUGGACCUGAUCCACUCUCAUAAACGUCUGUUCCCUUUUCCUUUAAGCUUUAUUUGCAGAGUUCAAAGUUAGCUUCUCUCAGCUUAUUUAGCCCAGCUGCACAGUCGUGUUGCUUUUUCACUCUGAUGCAACCUGUUCACAGAGCGGCGCAAGGUUUAUGAGAUUAGCGCGCAGUAAUUAACAGCACUGAGUCUACGGAUGAGCUGCGUUCACUGAGUCAAAGGAAGAUCCUCACAGCUCCCUCUGAUUCUCCAUCCACGCAUUAACCCAAACCUGCUCCUUCUACAACCUGUGUGCUCCAGCUUCUUUGCUUCCUGGUUAGAGCUGCCUCAUCCUUCUACACCUGGCUGCUCCAAGGCCCUGGGAUGAGUCAGACCUUUUGCGCUCAUAGAUUACGGUGUUUACGAGGAGGACUGGGCACCAGCGACGCUUCCAAACUGGGAUUCAAGGACAACUGCCAGCGGAUAUGAUUUGUUUUGCAUCCCUGCUGUGACUGGAGGAACUGCCAACGCUGAAAUUUGAGCCAGAGUGUCGAAUCAUGCUGUUCUCGUUUUCUCGUUUUUUGUUUUUUUUUUAGGCGGAAACUUUCAUUUGACAAUCUGCAAAAAGCUGAAUUUACACAUUCCUAACAAUUUAUUCCACUCCAAGGGCACGAAAGUGUCCUCCAACUUUUGUGGGAGGAUCAAUCUGGCUCCCGAGUAGAAGGUUUUUAAAGCCUGAAUCCACUGAUGCAGAAUAAGACUUUUAUUAUGAAACUCAGAGGAAGGACACAACCACACAAAUGCAUGCGUAGUAAAGCCAAAUGCUUUGUGUGGGGGGUUAUUUCCUGACUUUGCCACAGACCUGUAAAACCUUUGCAACCUUGAUAAAGGCUGUAGAAUCACUUUUUAAACAUUUAUGAUCCUUAAAAAUUAUGUUAAGUUAAAACUUCUCAGUCGUUGUCUUGGCCUGUGAUUUACUGUUCAACCAAAGGCCAAACAGUUGCGUCAAAGGUUGUUUAUAGUGAGUCAGACGUGACAUAAUUACACAGACUGGCGACCAUUACUGUAAGAGACCAGUUACUUGGAAGUCUCCACAACAAAAUGGAGCAAUCCAGGUAUUGGUUCAUUUUACAUCUGAUGCACAUUAUGUUUUUAUGUUAUGCCUUUUAAGUCCUGCAUUACUUAUAUACUGACAUUAUCACUGUGAAAACCUCUAAGAGCCUGUUUUCAAACAGAACCAGGGUUUUUAAUCAGAGCAGAGGCAUCCUCUGUUGUUCUUCUGCUUGUGUAUUGGUGGGACGCUUGCAUUUGGAGCAUUUGUGAUUUAAUGGGAAGGAUUAAGUUGCUUCAGAAGCGGCAUCGACUGUAGCGGCUCCACCUUUUAUCCGGCCGUAUCUCGGCCCCGACCCGUCUAACGGCCUCGUUGCCUUCCCUCUGAGGGCACUGAGCUCUCUGUCCUGAGUCCAGAGGAGACGCUCACACAG
ensembl:lncRNA